CAGGUUCUGGGACUACAGUAGGAACCAGCCUCUCCUGGACACCGUGGAACAUCACUCAGAGUUUGUCUGUGGACUAGACUUCAACCUGCACAUGCCCAACCAGGUGGUGGACUGUUCCUGGGACGAGACGGUGAAGAUCUACACGCCUGCCUGCCUGUCUGCUGGAACUCACCGCACAGCACCGUAGAACAAGUACUACCACACUUCUGAGGACGUGUCUGAGGGAGUCACAAAA